rnacentral:rRNA from 1 species
AGUCAUAUGCUUGUCUCAAAGAUUAAGCCAUGCAUGUCCAAGUAUAAACACGUUUGUACUGUGAACUGCAGAUGGCUCAUUACAACAGUUACAGUUUAUUUGACAUUGAACAGUUACACGGAUAACCGUAGUAACCUAGGGCUAAUACGUGACAAAAUCUCCGCCCCGCGGGAGUGCAUAUUAGCUUAAAACCUAUUUUGGUUGAACGAUAAUAUUUGUCGGAUCGCGUUGGCUUUGCCAGCGACAUGUCAUUCAAGUUUCUGCCCUAUCAGCUUGACGGUAGGCUAUUGGCCUACCGUGGCGUUAACGGGUAACGGGGAAUUAUGGUUCGAUUCCGGAGAGGCAGCCUGAGAAACGGCUACCACAUCCACGGGAGGCAGCAGGUGCGCAAAUUACUCAAUCCUGACCCAGGGAAGUAGUGACAAGAAAUAACGAUGAGCGGCCUAUGGUUGCUAAUUCGGAAUGAGAACAAUCUAAAAACCUUAUCGAUCACCCAGCGGAGGGCAAGCCUGGUGCCAGCAGCCGCGGUAAUACCAGCUCCGCUAGCGUAUACUAAAGUUGUUGCUGUUAAAAAGCUCGUAGUUGGAUUUCAGGGGUGUCGGCAUGGCCCGGACGUGUUUACGACCGCGCGCCAAAGCUUUCGCUGCGCCGGCGCCCCUUACUUCAGGAACGUCGGUCUGCCCAUUCACUUGGCUGGGCCGUUGGUCCUGAUCCUUUACUUUGAGAAAAUUAAAGUGCUCAAAGCAGGCAAUCGCCUGAAUGCAUUAGCAUGGAAUAAUAAAACAAGACUUUGGCACCGGUCGUUUUGCGACUGGAACNNUUGUUGGUUUUGGGCGAAGUAAUGAUUGAUAGGACAAUUGGGGGUGCUAGUAUCGCGGGGCUAGAGGUAAAAUUCUUUGAUUCCGGUGAGACUAACUUAUGCGAAAGCAUUCACCAAGCGUGUUAUCUAUAAUCAAGAACUAAAGUUGGGGGAUCGAAGACGAUCAGAUACCGUCGUAGUCCCAACCAUAAACUAUGUCGACUAAGCAUUGAGCAAGUUUUGAACUUCCUCAGCACUUUAUGAGAAAUCAAAGUUUUCGGACUCAGGGGGAAGUAUGCUCGCAAGAGUGAAACUUAAAGGAAUUGACGGAACGGCACCACCAGAUGUGGCCUGCGGCUUAAUUUGAUUCAACACGGGAAAACUUACCAGGUCCAGACAUAGUAAGGAUUGACAGAUUGAAGUUCUUUCUUGAUUCUAUGCAUGGUGGUGCAUGGCCGUUCUUAGUUGGUGGAGUGAUCUGUCUGGUUAAUUCCGAUAACGAACGAGACCUCAGCCAUCUAACUASUGUCGCUAACUCGUUAGCGCUCGGCUCCGGCCGAGUUCAGCUUCUUAGAGGGACAAUCUGUGUUCAGCAGAUGGAGGAUUGAGGCAAUAACAGGUCAGUGAUGCCCUUAGAUGCUCUGGGCUGCACGCGCGCUACAAUGACGCACACAGCGAGUUCCCUGGCUCGCAGAGCCGGGUAAUCUUGAAAGUGCGUCCAAGUGGGGAUAGAUGAUUGCAAUUGUUCAUCUUGAACAAGGAAUAUCUAGUAAACGCAAGUCAUCAACUUGCAUUGAUUACGUCCCUGCCGUUUGUACACACCGCCCGUCGCUUCUACCGAUUGAAUUGCGCGGUGAACUGGGUGAAUUGGAACUCGCUCCGGCGACGCUCUGAGAAGCCCCGUGAACCCUGUAAUUUAGAGGAAGGAAAAGUCGUAACAAGGUUUCC